UUUAAUCUUUUAAAUCUAAUGUUAUUUAUUUGUUUGUAAUAUUUACGUUUAAUUGUUUGUAACAUUGUACUAUUUAUCGUUUUCAUAAUAUGUAUUUUAAAUUAUCCCGCUAUUUCAUAGAACUAGUGUCAUUACACCGUUGGUAAUUGCUAAUUAAUUAUAUCGUUUUAAACAACCAUGUAUUUCGAAUAAAAUUGUUGGUUAGGUGUUGUUUGUAUAUACUUAGAUCUAUUAUGAAUUUUAAAAAUAUGUUGUGUAUAUACAUGUACAUUGUUACUAGUUUCUUUGUCUUCCACCCAAAUCCCUGAGUAUUUUGCUAUUAUUUGGUUACUCUGAUGAAGUCUAUAAGCAUAGACGAAAGCUUAGACCAUUAAUAAAAAGGCACAUCCUACGAA
rnacentral:lncRNA from 1 species